GACGAACGCUGGCGGCGUGCUUAACACAUGCAAGUCGAACGGAAAGGCCUGCUUUCCCUUGGGGAUUGCGGGUACUAGAGUGGCGAACGGGUGAGUAACACGUGACUUAUCUUCCCCCAACUUUGGUAUAAGCCUGGGAUACUAGGGCUUAUGCCCGAUAGCUCUGCAGGGUGGUGCCGGUGGUUGCAAACGAUUGUCUAGGGCUCGGGGCUUAUCUCGUGGGCUAUCAGCUUGUGGGUGGGGUAAUGGCCUACGAAUACUGCGACUGGUAGCCGGUCUGGGAGGGUGGACGGCAACAUUGGGACUGAGAUACGGCGAAGACGCCGACGCCAGGACGCCUAGGGGAAGAAGGCACAAGGGGCGGAAGACUGAUGCAGCGACGCUGAGGGGGGGAUGCCGGCCUUCGGGUUGUAACCUCCUUUCGGUAGAGCGGAAGCCACCUGGGUGGAAGGGUGGUGACGGUAGUGGUAGAAGAAGCACCGGCUAACUACGUG
rnacentral:rRNA from 1 species